rnacentral:rRNA from 1 species
GAGUUUGAUCCUGGCUCAGGACGAACGCUGGCGGCGUGCUUAACACAUGCAAGUCGAGCGGAAAGGCCCUUCGGGGUACUCGAGCGGCGAACGGGUGAGUAACACGUGAGUAACCUGCCCCGAACUUUGGGAUAACCCUCGGAAACGGGGGGUAAUACCGAAUACGACACGGCAUCGCAUGAUGUCCGGGUGGAAAGUUUUUCGGUUCGGGAUGGACUCGCGGCCUAUCAGCUUGUUGGUGGGGUAAUGGCCUACCAAGGCGACGACGGGUAGCCGGCCUGAGAAGGGCGACCGGCCACACUGGGACUGAGACACGGCCCAGACUCAUACGGGAGGCAGCAGUGGGGAAUAUUGCACAAUGGGCGGAAGCCUGAUGCAGCGACGCCGCCUGAGGGAUGACGGCCUUCGGGUUGUAAACCUCUUUCAGCAGGGAUGAAGCGCAAGUGACGGUACCUGCAGAAGAAGCGCCGGCCAACUACGUGCCAGCAGCCGCGGUAAGACGUAGGGCGCGAGCGUUGUCCGGAUUUAUUGGGCGUAAAGAGCUCGUAGGCGGCUUGUCGCGUCGAAUGUGAAAUCUCGGGGCUCAACUCCGAGCUUGCAUUCGAUACGGGCAGGCUAGAGUUCGGUAGGGGAGACUGGAAUUCCUGGUGUAGCGGUGAAAUGCGCAGAUAUCAGGAGGAACACCGGUGGCGAAGGCGGGUCUCUGGGCCGAUACUGACGCUGAGGAGCGAAAGCGUGGGGAGCGAACAGGAUUAGAUACCCUGGUAGUCCACGCUGUAAACGUUGGGCGCUAGGUGUGGGGACCCUCUCCGGGUUUCUGCGCCGCAGCUAACGCAUAAGCG